UACGGAGGGUGCAAGCGUUACUCGGAAUCACUGGGCGUAAAGCGCGCGCAGGCGGCUAUUUAAGUUGGAUGUGAAAGCCUACGGCUCAACCGUAGAACUGCAUCCAAAACUAUUUAGCUAGAGUGUGGGAGAGGAAGAUGGAAUUAGUUGUGUAGGGGUAAAAUCCGUAGAGAUAACUAGGAAUACCAAAAGCGAAGGCAAUCUUCUGGAACACUACUGACGCUGAGGCGCGAAAGCGUGGGGAGCAAACGGGAUUAGAUACCCUAGUAGUCC
rnacentral:rRNA from 1 species